UACGUAGGGGGCAAGCGUUGUCCGGAUUUACUGGGCGUAAAGAGCGUGUAGGCGGCCAAACAGGUCCGUUGUGAAAACUGGAGGCUCAACCUCCAGACGUCGACGGAAACCGUAUGGCUAGAGUCCGGAAGAGGAGAGUGGAAUUCCUGGUGUAGCGGUGAAAUGCGCAGAUAUCAGGAAGAACACCUAUGGCGAAGGCAGCUCUCUGGGACGGUACUGACGCCGAGACGCGAAAGCGUGGGGAGCGAACAGG
rnacentral:rRNA from 1 species